rnacentral:lncRNA from 1 species
AAUUAGAGAAGCAACGUGGAACAGACGAGAUAGCAACAGAAAUCAGUGAAUAUAUCACAGUCACCUAGGAAACUGGCUACCUGCUCUGAUUCCUGGGGCCACACUCUGGAGACCUAGAGACCUAACAGGCCAUGCAUUGCUGACAGUCGGAGGUUGUGGUUUGAGAAACACACAGAGGAGAAAGCACAGGUUUUGGAGUCCAGGCCACCAGGAAGUGCUUCGCUCUUAUCACCUCUUCAUAGCUGUCCCCGCUUACCUGGUGGCUGCAAUGUUGAACUCUUCAUUUUAGACCUGGUUCCAAAUCAAGGAGCAUUCUGAACUUCACAUUUCAGAAUUCCUCUGGUUCCUGGAGUACCCAAGGGAUUGAUCCCAGAAAUGCAUUAGAAGCAGUGCUACUAGCACAGAGGGCCUCUGAAGAGGUGUCCAAAAACAGGCUACUAGGGGUCCUGAUGAAGACAGCACCAGUCAGAAGUUAAUAAGAGGAUUUUCCAGAGGUACAACUGAUGGAAUGUGGUGACCACAUGUGGGUGCAAGACAGAUUUUUUCCUUGCAUGCUUGAGAACAAACUGAUGACCAAUAACAAGACAAGGAAGUAAUAUACUGGAACAUCAUUUUCUAUUUUUUUAAAGUAUGGAUUAUUUGCUAUUUACUUUGUGAAUUUUCUUGGGGGAAGUGUCUAUGUCUGUUUUUUUCUUCUUGACUCCUUGAACUUGGUGAAUGGAAAAAAAAAAAGCACAGUAACUCUUUCCUGUGGAGCCAGGGACAGGGCAGGGCUCCUCGGUACCCAUGGGCUCCACAUACAAUGACAGCCAGGCUCUGCUCUCCUUUUAGGGGGGAAGAUGCAGGUAAGCG